UACGUAGGGUGCAAGCGUUGUCCGGAAUUAUUGGGCGUAAAGGGUGUGUAGGUGGCGCCGUAAGCCGGGUGUGAAAUUUCGGAGCUUAACUCCGAAACUGCAUUCGAUACUGCGGUGCUUGAGGACUGGAGAGGAGACUGGAAUUCAUGGUGUAGCAGUGAAAUGCGUAGAGAUCAUGAGGAAGACCAGUGGCGAAGGCGGGUCUCUGGACAGUUCCUGACACUGAGACACGAAGGCCAGGGGAGCAAACGGG
rnacentral:rRNA from 1 species